GUAGGGGCCAAGCGUUAUCCGGAUUUAUUGGGGCGUAAAGAGCUCGUAGGCGGCUUGGGCAAGUCGGUCGUGAAAGUCCGAGGCUCAACCUCGGGAAUGCCGGGUCGAAACUGCCAUGGCUAGGGUUCGGUAGAGGAGAGUGGAAUUCUCGGUGUAGCGGUGAAAUGCGCAGAUAUCGAGAGGAACACCAGUAGCGAAGGCGGCUCUCUGGGCCGAUACCGACGCUGAGGAGCGAAAGCGUGGGGAGCAAACAGGAUUAGAUACCCUGGUAGUCCACGCCGUAAACGGUGAUCACUAGGUGUGGCGGACUCAUUGACGUCUGCUGUGCCGGCGCUAACGCAUUAAGUGAUCCGCCUGGGGAGUACGGCCGCAAAGGCUAA
rnacentral:rRNA from 1 species